UAUCCUCAUGCCACAGGGUCCAGCUGUUGGCUAUAAUACCCUAUGGGUCAAUGGUGAAUCCAUGUUUUGGGGUG
rnacentral:pre_miRNA from 1 species